AUGGUGCAGCAGGCUCGGCGGGCAGUGGGCAUGGCAGGCUCGGCAGGCAGCGGGCGCGGUGGUCAAGGCCGGGGGCGCGGAUUGGGGGAGAUGCGCACACAAGGAGCGACGGCGACCGCAUCUGCCGCCAACACCGAGGCCAUACUGCCAGUACAUUCCAAGUGGAAUGGAGUACCCAGUUUUGUCCAGAAAGUUGAGGCCUUCCGAUGGUUCUUUUGCAAUGAGGGUUUCAAUGCUAACCAUAUUGCAUUUCCAUUUUCAGGGUGUCCUUUUACUGGGUACCCACCCUCCAGUCUACCGGAGGGGAAAGAGCAGAGGAUCCGAGAGGUGAAGCAACCGGAGGAGCCGGAGAACACGACCCCUGUCCUAUGUACCGGCCAUAUCCCCCACGGCUUUUACAAGGACUAG
rnacentral:rRNA from 1 species